GAUGAAGAACGCAGCGAAAUGCGAUAUGUAAUGUGAAUUGCAGAAUUCAGUGAAUCAUCGAAUCUUUGAACGCACAUUGCGCCCAUUAGUAUUCUAGUGGGCAUGCCUGUUCGAGCGUCAUUAAGUCCACUUAAGCCCUGCUUAGUGUUGGGAGACUGCUCCAGCGGUGCUACCCUGUAGCUACCCUGCAGCUCCUCAAAGACAGCGGCGGAGUUGUGGUAUCCUCUGAGCUUAGUAACUUGUUCUAGCUUUCGAGUACACCACUUCCCCUGCCGUAAAACCCUUAAUUUUUAAUGGUUGACCUCGGAUCAGGUAGGAAUACCCGCUGAACUUAAGCAUAUCAAUAAGCGGAGGA
rnacentral:misc_RNA from 1 species